AAAGUCGUAACAAGGUUUCCGUAGGUGAACCUGCGGAAGGAUCAUUAAUAAUUUGCUGAACCUAGCGUUAGCGAGGUUCUGCGAUCACUUAUAUUUAAAACCCAACUCUUAAAUUGUAUAAUUAUGUAUUUUUUUUAAUAAAAAUUAAAGAUCACUUUCAACAACGGAUCUCUUGGCUCUC
rnacentral:misc_RNA from 1 species